CCGCGAGAACGGGCACCCCGCGUACCACGGGGCGGGGGGAGCCCUGCCCUGCCAGCUGCACCCCAGCCCCCUGAAGCGCUCGCUGUCGCUGGUGCCCGGCAGCCCCCAGCCCGGCCAGGGGGGCGAGUGGGCGGGGGGCGGGGGCCCCGAGGACCCCCCCGCGGCCCCCAGGGCCCCCCCCCCCGUUCGGGGAACACGCCCCCCUGUCCCCCCAGAGCAGCGUGGCCUCGUCGGGCAGCGAACACACCGAGGAGCCCGGCGGGCGCAACUCCUUCCAGGAGGACGGCAGCGGCAUGAAGGACGUCCCCUCGUGGCUCAAGAGCCUGCGGCUGCACAAGUACGCGGCGCUGUUCGCCCAGAUGAGCUACGAGGAGAUGAUGACGCUGACGGAGCAUCACCUGGAGUCACAGAACGUCACCAAAGGCGCCCGGCACAAGAUCGCCCUGAGCAUCCAGAAGCUGCGGGAGCGGCAGAGCGUCCUCAGGGCACUGGAGAAGGUCACUGGGGGCACUGGGA